AACGAACGCUGGCGGCAUGCCUAACACAUGCAAGUCGAACGAAACCUUCGGGUCUAGUUGCGCACGGGUGCGUAACGCGUGGGAACCUGCCCUUAGGUUCGGAAUACCUCCCCGAAAGGGGUGCUCAUACCGGAUAAUGUCUUCGGACUAAAGAUUUAUCGCCUUUUGAUGGGCCUGCGUUGGAUUAGCUAGUUGGUAGGGUAAAAGCCUCCCAAGGCGACGAUCCAUAGCUGGUCUGAGAGGAUGAUCAGCCACACUGGGACUGAGACACGGCCCAGACGCCUACGGGAGGCAGCAGAGGGGAAUAUUGGACAAGGGGCGAAAGCCUGAUCCAGCAAUGCCGCGUGAGUGAUGAAGGCCUUAGGGUUGUAAAGCGCUUUUACCCGGGAGGAUAAUGACAGAACCGGGAGAAUAAGCCCCGGCUAACUCCGU
rnacentral:rRNA from 1 species